rnacentral:miRNA from 1 species
UGUGUGUGUGUGUGUGUGUGUGUGUGUGUGUGUGUGUUUUAAUUGCCAGUCCGGCCAGCUGGUGUCUGUCUCUGUCUCUGUCUCUGUCUCUCUCUCAUUCACACUCACACACACACACACACACAUU